rnacentral:rRNA from 1 species
AGUGAACGCUGGCGGUAGGCCUAACACAUACAAGUCGAACGGCAGCACAGGAGAGCUUGCUCUCUGGGUGGCGAGUGGCGGACGGGUGAGGAAUACAUCGGAAUCUACUUUUUCGUGGGGGAUAACGUAGGGAAGCUUACGCUAAUACCGCAUACGACCUACGGGUGAAAGCAGGGGACCUUCGGGCCUUGCGCGAUUGAAUGAGCCGAUGUCGGAUUAGCUAGUUGGCGGGGUAAAGGCCCACCAAGGCGACGAUCCGUAGCUGGUCUGAGGGGAUGAUCAGCCACAGUGGAACUGAGACACGGCACAGACUCCGACGGGAGGCAGCAGUGGGGAAUGUUGGACAAUGGGCGCAAGCCUGAUCCAGCCAUACCGCGUGGGUGAAGAAGGCCUUCGGGUUGUAAAGCCCUUUUGUUGGGAAAGAAAUCCAGCUGGCUAAUACCCGGUUGGGAUGACGGUACCCAAAGAAUAAGCACCGGCUAACUUCGUGCCAGCCGCCGCCGUAA